GGGGGAUUAGCUUAGUUGGUAGAGCGCCUGCUUUGCAAGCAGGAGGUCAUCGGUUCGAUCCCGUUAUCCUCCACCA
rnacentral:tRNA from 4 species